CACGCCGUAAACGAUGUCAACUAGCCGUUGGGAGCCUUGAGCUCUUAGUGGCGCAGCUAACGCAUUAAGUUGACCGCCUGGGGAGUACGGCCGCAAGGUUAAAACUCAAAUGAAUUGACGGGGGCCCGCACAAGCGGUGGAGCAUGUGGUUUAAUUCGACGCAACGCGAAGAACCUUACCAGGGCUUGACAUUGAGUGAAAGACUAAGAGAUUAGUUCCUCAUCUUCGGAUGACACAAAAACAGGUGG
rnacentral:rRNA from 1 species